CUCCAGCAAAACGUUUUGGAAACUCAUGUUUAACCUUUAAAACUCUGACAUGUUUUAGCACACAAGGCUUCAUCGGGGAGUUCACUUGUGAUUGGACCAUGAGAAUAAAGGUUUUUAGUUUUUUCAAAGAGAGUCUUGGAGCUUUUUGAUGUUUCUGUUUUCUCUGAAACCACCUGAAAGAAAAACUAUUUUUCUUGCUUUAUGUAGUGUGGAAGUUUUUAAUGUUUCUUUCAUCUGUGAUGUUCUUGAAUGUGUUCACAUGAAGAUGGUACAGGUGAUUACCUGAAGAGCUACUUAACCCGGCGCUGAUGGAUGCUCCACGCCAGUCCGUUAAUCGCCUCUCUGUGGUUUCAGCGUCUGCCACCUGCCUGUCCUCCUGCUCAAUUGGAUCACCCGGUGCAUCAUCUGGCCCAUUCACUACCUCCACGGAUUUCUUUCUCACAGACUUCCCUCCCGAGCUCCCACGGUCCUGCUCUAAUCCCUCCCACGGUCCUGAUUCCGGCUUCCUCGCGUCAUUGUUUCCCCGGGUUUUUUUUAGUUCCUCGUUUUGCUCCUCUGGUUUUCCCGGGUCGUCUUUUGUUGUUAUAAUAAAGUGUCAUUUUCUGCUAGCGCUUGAGUCUGCAU